ACCUCCGUAAAAUCUCGACUCUUGCGGGGAGAGAUGUAUUUAUUACACAACAAACCAAUGCGGGUUCUGCCCGGUUUUGUGGUGAAUCAUAGUAACUUUUCGAAUCGCAUGGCUUCACGCCGGCCAUAGUUCAUUCAAAUUUCUGCCCUAUCAGCUUUCGACGGUAGUGUAGUGGACUACCGUGGCGUUUACGGGUAACGGAGAAUUAGGGUUCGAUUCCGGAGAGGGAGCCUGAGAAACGGCUACCACAUCCAAGGAAGGCAGCAGGCGCGCAAAUUACCCAAUUCUGACACAGAGAGGUAGUGACAAAAAAUAACAAUACCUGGCCUCAUUAGGUCGGUGAUUGGAAUGAGUACAAUUUAAAUCCCUUAACGAGGAUCCAUUCGAGGGCAAGUCGGUGCCAGCAGCCGCCGUAAUUCCAGCUCCCAGAGCCUAUAUUAAAGUUGUUGC
rnacentral:rRNA from 1 species